GCCUUGGGGCGGGGUUAAGGGGAAGCUUUCCGGGCGCCCUCUGCUGACCAGCGGUGUCCAGGCCUUUUGGCAAAUUCAAGUGUGGAGUAGUCUGGACAGCAGAAGUUGAGAAUAUUUCUUGCUGUAGCAGGACCCGAGUUGGGUUCCCUGCAUUCAUGUUUGGGCAGCUCACAACCACCU